rnacentral:rRNA from 1 species
CCUACGGGAGGCAGCAGUGAGGAAUAUUGGUCAAUGGACGCAAGUCUGAACCAGCCAAGUAGCGUGCAGGAUGACUGCCCUCUGGGUUGUAAACUUCUUUUAUAUGGGAAUAAAAUGUUCCACGUGUGGGAUUUUUUGUAUGCCCUAUGAGUAAGGAGCGGCUAAAUCCGUGCCAGCAGCGGCGGUAAUAUGGAGGAUCCGCGCGUUAUCCGGAUUUAUUGGGUUUAAAGGGAGCGUAGGUGGAUUGUUAAGUCAGCUGUGAAAGUUUGCGGCUCAACCGUAAAAUUGCAGUUGAAACUGGAAGUCUUGAGUACAGUAGAGGUGGGCGGAAUUCGUGGUGUAGCGGUGAAAUGCUUAGAUAUCACGAAGAACUCCGAUCGCGAAGGCAGUUCACUGGACUGCAACUGACACUGAGGCUCGAAAGUGUGGGUAUCAAACAGGAUUAGAUACCCCAGUAGUC